rnacentral:misc_RNA from 1 species
CCCUGCGAUCACUUUCCUCUCUCUUUCAUUAGCCCCUUACCGGCAGCUCAACCGCGCCACCACACCGACAUCCCAUUUUUGAACAACACGCGCACGCAAGCAAACCAAAGGGUAACUCGACGGAGCCCAUCGCGAAGGAGGCAAAGGCAGCGAGCAGCGAUCAUACACGACACAAAAACGGAGAGCAGAGGAAACAAGGUGGUUUGUGCAUCGAAACGCGCAUACACAAGCACACACGCACGCACAGACUAAUAAACGGCAACAAAACACGCACACACGUACACAGUAGAGGGUUCGGAGGACCUUGUACGACUCCCAGACGAGAAACACACCCACACAAAGGCAUCCACGGAGAAGAGGCUGAGGGGUGAAGUGUUGGCCUGCGGGCCUUUGUUCUCUCUCUCUGCAUCGGUGUCGCAUCUCGCUUUCUGGCCACCGUGGACGACGGGGGGACUGUAUUGCCCAUAACCCCUGCGUUUCCUUGAUCAGUCUCUGACGUUAUUUCCCCCUGGACCUCCAUCACGUGCCCCCGCCAUCUCACGUUUUUUUCGUUGUUUUACUUGUUAAAGCUCGCGCUCUUCUUUCCCGCUUGGGCUCCUCUUCCAUCUCACGCACACUUUCCAUCUGUCCCUCCGUUCGCUGUAUUCCGCACGCCCUUUCCUUCGCCCUCCCCCCGUCAAUUUCGGUGGAGUUUUCGAUUCUUCCGUUUUGCCCUUUUCUCGUUGCUGUUAUCUGCUGGGAGCGCUUGUUGCCCUUUAUCUCUUUUCCUCCGCUCUCCUCUACCUCUCUCUCCAACGCCUAACGUUGUGGCCUCACACGGCUCCCUCCCCCCUCCCUCUUCACCGACACGAAGCCUUCUUUCCUCGCCGCCCUCCUGCAGGUGCACCCACCAUUAGUAGUAGUCGGGAACCUUUCGUGCUAUUCCAGACAGAGGGAGCGGUAGACGUACCUUUGCCCGAGGCUCUCCACAAACCUUCCCCCUCCCCUACUCCUUCAGCCUGCCACGUCUCUCGCCCCUUUGAUCUCGCUUAUUCUUUUCUUUCCUUCUUAAUCAGUCCGUGUGUGUGUGUGUGUGUGUCUUUCCUUGAGAAGGCGCUCUUCGUUGUACUUCGCACGGCUUUGCUUUUUUUUUGCUUCAUACUUCAUUUCUUCGCUCGUGCAUACUCUUCCACUUCACCUUCGCACUGUAGUUGCUCGUGCGUGUGUGUGUGUGUGUAUAUGUGUGUAGCUCUCGCUCUCGCUCUGCUUCUACGCAUCGAUCGGCACGCUUUACCUUCGUUACCUUCUCUAUAUACGUGUAGAUGCCCUCUGGCUAAAUUUACAGACUACCGAGGCCCGACACGCGCUCAGCACACAAACGUUGCCUCAUCUGAUCGAACUCCCUCCACCUCUCAUCUUUUUAUCUCUUUUUUUUUUCGCCUCUUUCUUUUUCCCCCGUUUGCUAACGCACGCACACGCGUUACGCAAAGUGCAAACACCAACGAAGCGUAUAUACAAGCACAUACAUAUACGCACCCGUAGAGAGAGCGCUCGCUCCUCCAUUAGCGCUCCUUCAUCGCACGAUUUCCAUUUCUGUUUUUUUUUGUUAUUUGAUUUCAUCUCCAUUUUCGUUCGCCGCAUUUCAUUUUCCCUGUUUUCCUCCGCAUGCCCUACCCCCUUUGUGUCUGUCGUAUUCUCUGCGUGCGUGUCUUCUCCAUCGUGGCGAUCGUCUCUUGAGUUCAUCCCAUCCUCCUUCCAUUUCCUCACGGUUUGGCGUCUUCUUUUUUGUUUUGUUUUUCCCGUUUCCCCUGAAAGCCGCCGCACACACACACACACGCACACACACCACACCACAUACACCCAACCGCCGCCCCGCAUAUCAUUUCGUUUGCAUUGUUUGGUUUUGUUUUGUUUUUGCUUGUUUCACCUCUGCUGUUAUUAUUACGCGCUAUUUGCUCCCUCGUUAUAUAUAUAUAUAUAUACACGUGUGUGUGUGUGUGUGUGUGUGUGCUCGCGUGUGUGUUUCUCGAUUUCCUUUUCUUCGACUUCCAGUCUUGUUGCUUUGCUGUUCUCCUCCUGGCAUCUGACUUCGAGUCACACAUUCCCCCUCCCCUCCUCCUCUUCCGUUUCAUUGAGUCCAUCGCACUCCUUCGUGACUUAAGCGUACACCUCUUUUCUUUUUUUUUCACGAUUAUUCCCUCCUUCUCGCUUUGUGAGUUGCACCUACGCCAUACGCCAUAGCCGCUGCCGCCUCUUCUUCCCUUCAGCACACAUCUCCAUCUCCUCUCCCACCGCUCUCACCUUAGGGUUGUGGGUUUGUUCUCGCUUUACUUUUAUUGUUCCUUCCUGUGUCUCUUUACUCUUGACCCUGUUCACCGAUUGCUCACCACCACCACCACCACCGACUCAGCUGCGCUCGCGUCUCACUGUUCGCUCGAUUCGUUUUCGUUUUUUUUUCGGUUGUCAUGUCUGGUAUUUCCCAUUUGUCUCUCUGUUGUCGCCUACGCUGCUCCUCUUCACUGUGUCAACUUUCUCCGCUCGAUCAUCUCGUGCAUCGACAAGGGUGGUGAGGUCAACCAAAGCGAAAAAAAAAAAGAAAACAUUGGACGUCUGCGUCCGUGUGUGUGUUUGUGUGUGCGUGCGUGCGUGUGUCUACAGUCGUGGCGGAUUCGUUCGCGUCUCCCCCUCCCCUCCGCCCUGACACCUGCCAAACGGCCCAAUAUAAUCACCUACGCGCGCACAAGCUCAGGUGCGGCGAUACGCGCCUCGUCACCCUCUGUGUGUGUGUGUGCGUGUGUCUUCUUUCCUGUUGCCUGUUGUCAACAUAUAUAUAUAUAUAUAUGUUCGAGGAGGAGUUUCCAGCGUGAGGUGCGGAAUCAAACACUCGAAAAAAACGAAAGCACGCCGGGCAGGAGUAGAGGGCAAUUUAGCACUAGAGGGAAGCGGUGCGCAUUCACUUGAGUCUCGGUGUUUUUUUUUGGGCGUCUUCCUGCCUGCCUGUGUGUGUGCGCGCGCGCUCUCCACCCCUCCCUCCCUUUUUAUUGGUAGCAAGAGUCACCUGUUCUCAUCCACAACUCUCGAAUCCCAUCUACACUUACUUUCAUUAGUUCUUUCUACGUUUUCUUAUUUGUUUGUCGCGCUCGGUCUCUCUUGGGCUCUUGUCCACUGUUUUCCUUAUAUGAGUAUCGUGCCUCUCGAGGUUUGCUGUUAUUUCUCCAUUAGCCCCCCUCCUCAUUCCACCAGCUCGUGCCCUACCGCCUCCCUCUUUUCCCGCCGCUUUUUUUCCUAUCACAGCUUGCGAGGUACAGUCGUGCGUGGUUCCCCCUCCCCUUGCGUGAGUGCGCGCUUGCAAGGAUCUACACGAUCACGACUUUCGUCUCGUUUAGGCGUUCGCUCUUUUCCUCUCUCAUCCGCCCUAAUAGACGCGACCACAAACAGGCGCUUGUACGCUCUUGCACGCGAAACCACACGCAAGCACUCCACCUCGUGAAGAUAUCCUCUUCCCUUUUUGACUUGUGCAUGUUUUGCUGAACCUUAUUUUUUCUCUGGUAUCCGUUACGACACUUUCUUUGUGUGUAUGUGUGGUGCUGGUGGCGUUUGAUUUGCAUACGGACGUGUUCAUCUGUGUUUAUGGUUGUGACUAGCCUGAGUGUUGCGAUCGCCCUCUCUCCGUGCGCGUUUUCCUUUUUUUUUGCUUGGCCUCUCUCUGUGUCGUUUGCUUUUACUAACGGCUCAGUGUCCUCCCUUUUUAUCUCCUUUUUCCUCUUUGACGCCCAACCCUCACUCGUCCUACACUCUCUUCCUCACGGCCUUGUUCACUAGUCCGAAACCGUCGCCGCCACCCCACCUCUCUCUCUUUCACCUCUCUUUGACGGCGGCGUCGCUGUUUGUCGUCGUUGCUGUAGCUCCGUGCUGCCACCUCGAGUGCAGGUUUACAUGGGGUCAGCCCCUUGCCGAGGCCCUCUUGUCCAAAAGAAGUUCGGCGAUCGCGCUGCUCCCUGUAGUGUGUGUGUGUGUGUCUUCUUAUUUCUCUUUGAGUGAGCAGCGUCGUAACGCAGCCAGGCAGCCAUGUAUAACUUCUUCACCGGCGUCAAUGCGCCCUCGACUCCACCGCAGAAGCAGCCGCAAGCCGAGCCAUCACUACCACCCUCGGCCUGUCAUCACCACGUAGCCGCAAGCUCCCUCCUUGAUGGCAUGACGACACACAGCGCAUCCCUGUGGCUUCUCAACGCUGCACAGCACCCUCCGCUCUCAUACGCACGCAGUGAUGGUGGCGGCGGCAACUUAGCAGGAGCAGAACAGGAGAAAUGGACGACUGCUUCUAAUUUUUACAGCACCUUUCCAACGUCUGCUGCCCCGCCCUCCAGCAGCGGUGUGCAAAGCCUCCACGGCGUCGGUCAGCAGCCAGCGCAGCAGCCACACCAGCACUUAUGCACCUCUAUCCUUCAAUCACACGAGCACGUGGGAAGCAGCGCCACACCCGUUCCGGGCCUGUCAUCGCGGUUGCCGUUGCAGGAACAUCUGUCGUCGACUUGCGUCACGCUCAGGGGGGAGUCCCUUCGCGUGCGGUUCGACGGCGCCCCCUACUCGCCCUUCGCGUCGACUAAUGUAAGCACAGCUUCGCAGCCGCCUGAAGCUAUGCACAGUAACCAACAGUACUACGACAGCAUGAGUCAUCACAGACGUUACAGCGCAUCCAGUGCGAGUAGUAUACGGCACACUCUGCAGGUGUCUGCGUCGCCGGAGCAGCAGCACCAACAGCAGCGACUACCGAUCUCCAGCAGUGCGUGGGCCGCUGCUACCCCCGCCACUGCUACGCCGGCCUCGCUCUUUGCGUCCUCCUUCAUCCGAUCCUUGGCAAGCACGACCUAUCCUUGGUACUCCUGUGAUUUGAGUGGCAAUGCCCUGCCGACGCUGCCGGCUGCCGUCCCAGCGCCAUAUGUAAGUGGAACGACGCUGCCCAUGUCUAGCCAGUCGCAGGCAACCUACUCGGUCAUGCCGCAACCACCGAAAAGUGGACAGCCUUGUUCAUCUACCGCACACCCUACCCUGCACUCGAUCAUGAUCGUCCACCCGACCCUGGACAGGGGCACAGCGGCAAUUUUGCAGGCAUCCACAGACGCGGUGAACACGCCGCUCCAUUGCUUGACGGACCUCAAAGCGUCUGAAAUUUCCGGCACAACGCAUUACCUUGAAGCCGUGCAAGGUGGCGGCAGCGUUGGCGACAACUCGAAGCAGUCCUACCCGUCAUCGAUUCCCACGGCGUCGCGCCAGCCACAGCCGCCGCUUCAGCAAUACUGCCUGCAGCCUACUUCACAGCAGCAGCAGAGUCAGCAGUUGGCCGCGGAGCAGUCGCCAGUGUACUCCUGCCUCCUCACGAACGACGGGAACAUCAGCCAUUUUGUCAGCCAUACCACGGUGGCUGGUGCAAUCAUCCAGCCACCUUCUUCGAUGCUGAACGGCGUCGCGUCCUUGGCCUCGCUCAACUCGGGUGCCGCUGGUGCUGGGCGAAGCGGAGCAUGGCAACAGCCAUCCACCGCGGAUAUGGGCAGCUACAAUGAUCAGAGCAGUAAGCUCCAGCUCCAGCAGCAGCAGCAGCAGCAACUACGCCCGGUCAGCGCUGCACGGCCGGUUACCGACACGCGUGGAAUCGCUCGCCGAAACCGCGACAGGGCUGUUCUCUUCGUGGGGCAGCUCAACUAUGAGGCGACGGAGGCUGAUGUAUCGCAGGUGUUCUCUUGCUACGGCAAGCCGCUGAGCGUGGUGGUACUGAAAGACAAGGGCAAGGCGGCGAAAAAAGGCGGCGCUGGAGGUAUCAGCGGCGGCAGUGCAACAACGCACCGUAAAGUCGGUGGCUCGGCAUUUGUCACAUAUGGGACCACGCUGGAGGCCGACACAGCCAUCGUGGCGCUUCACGGUCGGUACAAUGCCAAGGACGAUGAUGCCGAGAACGUCGACAAUUCCAAGUAUCUGCAGGUAAGCUACGGCCAGCAAACGGGGCUGAUCUCAGCAUUUGGCAUGAUGCACGCCGAGAAGCUGCACGCCUCGAAGCCGGAGAAUCCAAUUCCGUUGUUGGUGAAGGGCCGCACAAACGGAAAGUCGUGAAGCCCACGAAGCCGAAUGAGCGGGCGAGAUAGCGCGUUUGGUGGUCAAGCGCUGAACGGAAACGCGGAAGAGGCUCUGCAGAAGCGGCGCCAGACGCGAACGUGGCUUCUUUGACAAUAUCUUCUUUUUUUUUUUCGGAGAAGCGCGGAGUGCGAGCAAAGAACACGGCGAGGGGGAGAUGCACGCGGGUGCACAGCAGCGCACAUAGCGUGCAAAUGAGAGGCAUUCUUUCGCAUGUGUGUAUGGACUGGUAAGUGAGAGCGCAUGUGUGGUCUCCUACCUUUUUUUUCCGUCUCUCCUCGGGAUCCCUGAUGACCGUGGCGGAGGGGGACACCUCAGUGCCCAGCACCCCAGCCCUAUGUAGGGAAAAGCCAGGCCGCUCCUCUAUCCCCUGCCAAUGCCGAGCCACUGCUGGUCGUGGCAGGGCCAAGUGCUUACGAUGUGGGGAGGUCAGAGCGAUGUGCCACUACUGGUGUCGGCGGUGUGGUUCUGGAUAGCGUUGCAUCGGAGCGACCUGCAACAGCGAGCACGUUUGUACGAGUCCAUAUGGGCAAGGUAUCAUCAUGACUAGAGCUCAUCUCACCCGGCCCUCGCACUGCCCACUGGUGCGGAAAGCCGGGGCCACCCCGAGGGGGAAGCGCCAGGUGGCGAGCGGCAUGAUGGGAGGAGCAGUUGUGAGGCGACCCGUGAGGCGGGGGUAGGCAGAUUAUGAGGCCGAGGCCGUGCUGUUAUAGCUGAGCCUUCAUUGCUGUAACGCGUGUCUAUGGCUGCUUCGCAUCAGGCGAUGGGCCUUGUGGCAGGCCGAGGUUUAGAGUGGCGUUCGACUCCCGUUGUGUGGCAGCACAGAUAGUGGAAGCGAAAACUCUCAUCAAUCUGUCAGCCCCACUUCAGUUCGACUUUUUGUCUUGUGGUUCAUUGCCCCCUUCCCUCGUCCCCCCUCUCGCGACUGCUUCCAGAGCUCAUUUUUUGUCGAUGUCACACCCUCGCCCUCUUUCCUCUCUCCCCCUCGCGGUAUUGCAGAACGGAUGCUAUCAUGAUUCGUCGACACUUCUUCGUUGCGGUGGUAUAUAGAUGUGGGUGUCUUUUUUCUUUUUGUGCCGUGGACGAGUCUUGCUGCUACCUCCUCCCUCCCAAUACCUCCGCCGCCGGGCCCUUCCCCCUCUCCCCGCUCCCACUCAAAACCCUCAUCAGCACCUUCACACAUUUGUAAGUCGUUUGUUUCUUGUUGAUUUUGGAUUCCUGCCCCUCUCCCCGUGCCUCUCCCCAGUCUUGGCUUUCCUUUUUCCAAGGCUGUCAUCCGUAUGCUGUAGUGCUUGCCCACGUGUGACAAAUCGAAUCUGGGGUCGAGGGAGUGUGGUGUGGCUCACCUUUUUCUUAUGAUUUGUGCCGAGGUACUCUUGUUGCUCUAGAUACGUGUGUGUCUGUCAGCCCUUUGCCUCUUCCUUCGCAGUCAGCAACUGAAAACGGGCUUAGAGGGUAUGGUACAUGUGGGCGCACACACACACACACACAUGCAUACACAUAUCAAGAACUGUCAUCAAUGCUGUAUGCACUUGGCGUUGCAUACUCCGCACAAGCCUUUUUUUUUUGGCUUGCGGUUCUUCGUUUGUCUUCUCGAAUCCAAUCCUGCUCCUCUCCCUCCUCUCCCCUUUUCUUCUGCGAAUCCUCUUUCCCUUUGCGUGUGCGUGCGCGUGUGAGCAUUUCUCUCGCUCUUUGUGUCUCCUCCCUCCGUUCUGUGGUCCCAUUCGAUACCCCUCAGUCCUCACUGUCCCCCUCCACGGCACUUUAGUUGUGCGUGUGUGUGUUUCUUUAUUCCUCUUAUUUUUUCUUUCGUCGUGCGGCGAUGUCUUUUCCAUGUUCCCCGCGCUCUCUCGCUCUCUUUAUGUUUGGUGUUAUUGGUCGCUGUUUUGUGUGACUUCUCUCAUCGCUUAUUGUUUCGUGUUUGGUCUCUCUCCCUCCCUCCCCUAGCCUUUUUUUCUUUUGGUCUUCCCCCGGGCCGCGACACGUGUGAGCGCGGCAAGCAGUGAUGCCGACGCUCUCUCCACCCCCUCCCUUCCCCUCCUCCUCGUCCUCUUCGCAUCCCCUUCACUGUUUUAUAUGCGUGCGUCUGGGCGCCGAGAUGUGUUCUUGGGUGAGUGUGGCGGGUGUGCAGAGGCCUUUUCAGUCUUUUGUAGAGGACGCGCUCAUGCAUCGCUUUUUUCUCUUUCUCUUCUCAUAUUAGGGGAUCGACUGUCGUGCCCGCGCAUCUCCGUAAGUAAAGGCGCCUUCACUGCUCCUUUUUUUAUUCCUUGUCCGUAUACUCGUAUAGAUGCCGCUGUGCACUAGUACGCGUGUGUGUACACUGGCACGCAGCACUGCAGGCAAGGAAAAACAUUUUUAAAAAGAAGGCAUACCGUCAUGUCGGCACAGAGGUAAGACUUCACGUAUGAAACUUUAUGUUGUUGUUUUCUCACUUUCCCUCUCCGUGCCCUUCGCUCCGUUUCUUUUGUUCCUUGUUAUUAGUGUGUUGAUAUCGCUGAUGGUGCUGAUGGCUGCUCUCCUGUGCCCUCCGCUCGGCACACAGUCACGCACGCUUGGCUAUUCGGAAAGAAGUAGAAGGCGAAACGGAAAGAAGUUGUUGUGUUACUACACUUUUACAUGCUUACAUGUGUAGGUUCGUCCGCACAUCGACUCGUCUACCACGCCCAAUUCAAACACUCGUGAGUAUCGGCAAAACCCGUCGUUCACUCCUCCCUCUCUGCAUGCUCCCCUCCCCCGACAGGCCCUCAGUUUUGCUGCUCUUGAAACCACACCAUCAUUUGUUGGAUGAUGUCUUACGCGCGCCUCAUGUCUCUUCUCGAUGCUCGGCCCUGCACAGUAUAUGUGCAUGAAAAGGCGAGAGGCGGAACCACAAUGAUGAGCGCCCUACAAGAGGCAGAGAGGGCGAAGAAGAAGAAAAAGGAGAAGAGAGAGGCAGCCCCGUGAGGCACUACCAAGCCAAACGGAGAACUACAGUAUCUCUUGUUUCUUUGCUGGUGUUUUCUCCCUUUUCGUAAGUGUGCAUGUGUGUGUGUGUGUGUAUGUAUUGCGCCUUCUUUAUUUCACCUUCUGUUUGUGGACGUCUCGGUCACUUGCUCAUUUUUUGUGUGUUCCUCCUCUCAGGUCGCCUUCACUCUCCUAUACGAUUCCCUAAUCCCGCUUCUCCUCCACCCCAAACCCCAGCCCUAACUUAUGUUAUUUUCCCAUCUCUUUCUCUACGGCCGCCCUUCUUUUUCGAGCGUUAAGCUGUCUUCCCUCACCCCAUGCUUGCCCCCACUAUGCCUUUCUGAUUCUCUUGCCCCCCCUGUGCACUUGCCCUCGCCUUGUGUUCAUGUCUUUGUGCGUCUAUCGGCACCUAUUUCCUCUGUUCACGUCCACUUUCUGUGGUGCUUGUGUGUGUGUGUGUGUGUGUGUGUGUGUGUUUCGUUCAUCUUUUCUGUUUGUUCGCCUCCCCUCCCCCUCCUUGAUAUGCCCGCGUGUGCGUGCGUGUCUGUGUUUGUGGGGUGGGGGAUGGAAGCGCGGAAGCUGCUGCAAGACAUGUAAUGAUGCUGGGCCGAUCUACCUCGCGAGAGAAAAAUAAAGGCGAAAGAUGGGAAAAGAGAAGGAGCUAUAUAUGUGUGUGUAUGAGGUUCAUCUUCCCUCUGUCUUGCCACAUCACUCUCCAUGCAGCGGAUGCAUCACCCCUUCCUCCCGUUGUCGCCUUGCAGGCGGAAGCUGACAUCGUCGCGUAGCCUCGUGUGCUCUCUUCUCUCUCAGCGUUCUCUCCUUUUGGGGGAGGGGGAAAAAAUGACGGAUGCAUGUGUUCAGAGCCAUUUGGCUGCUUUUCUUUGUCUUCCCCUCGUUACAGUGUGCACAUUCAUCAACACCUUCCAGUAUAUCGGGGCUGGCCUCCUCCGCCUCUGCACACGCAGACUCCCCUCUUUCGACCAGGAAGCCGUGUGUCUCUCCAUUUUUAUUCCAGGAAAAAGCAGAGAAGAGAGUUGUUUGAUGGCGUCCCCUUUCCUACCCCCUUUCCUGGGACUCUACCCUUUGGGAUGUAUGUGCUUGUCUGUCUCCUCUGCCAGGAUCCCCCUCCUUUGCUCUCCCUCUCUCUCAAUUCUCUCGUUCUCGUUACGCAACGCCACACAGCCUCCCUGUUCUCCGACUCCCGCUCUUUCUGUCUGGAUAUGUGCUCUUUUUUUUUGUUUGUGCGUACGUGUUUUCUGUUCCCUCUCUAUCAGUCUUAGUGCGUUGUGCGCACUUUCACUGUUACGUCGCGUGUGCCAUUCUUGUCAUAUUUAGUGAUGUCUUUCUGUCGUGAGUGCGCAUGCGUCUGUGUGGCGGGCGAGUCCUUUCUCCCUCACGAACGCGCUUGCGACGAGGUCGUCACCCCCUUCACUGAUUCAGCCCCCGUCCCCUCCCCCCCCAAAUGACCCUUCCCCCUCUUCUCCAUAGUGGUGCUUUUUUUCCUUCUCUCCAUCUCUUGCCUCUGAUUCGUUGAAGUCCCCCUCGCUCGCACUGUUCUUCUUUAUCCCCCCCCCCUUCCCUUUACUCGUCAUCCCGGAGCAUGCUCUCUUUCUUCAUGCGUUGCGUCUUGUUUUUUGUGGAUGUUGUUCUUGAAGAAAAAAAAUCAUCCGCAUUGAAUCAGGCUUCAGACUCCUUGGUGCCUCUCCCUCUCUCCUCGCUGUGGGUGCGUGUGCGAGGGCGAGGGUGACUAGGCACGGUUCACUCCAUUUUUUCUGUGCUGCCCAGGGGCGCCCUCUCCCUCUCUGUUGCCUCCUUAGAGCAUCGAUGCGGCGAUACACAGCCGAGCUGUGGCCCAAUGCAUUUGUUUGCCUUUUUUUAUUCUUGGUCUUUCUCUUCUCUCCGAGUGUGCGUCACCAUUCUGGAAGCUGUAGUGGUGCUUGUCUCAUGCUUUUUUACUUUUUUUUCGCUUGUUUGCUUCCCUUCCUACCUCUCUUGCCGGCCGUCUUUCCCUCCUCCUCCCCCCUUUCCGUCCCAUCUCCUCUCCUCACGUCUCUGCUACGCAUUCGCGUACCGAACUCAGCCGCCUCAUCCUCUCUCUUUCUCGUUUGCUUGUUUGUUUUUCAUGUUUAUUUCGCUUCUUUUACUUGCACAGCCAAUACAUGCAAGCAGAGAACAGUAGCCAAAUAAGUUACUAUAUGAGCACUUGAGAAGCACGCCACGAAAAGCACGUCAUCACUGUCGCCUCCUCCUCACCCCCACACACACACAC